rnacentral:rRNA from 1 species
AAUUCCAGCUCCAAUAGUGUAUAUUAGAGUUGUUGCAGUUAAAAAGCUCGUAGUUGGAUUUCUGUCGUGGUCAGCCGGCUCCGCCUGUAUAGGUGUGCGCCUGGUUUGCCCUCGGCUUUUUUCCGGUGAAUCCAUCCGCGCUUAAUUGCGUGUGUUGGAGUUCUGGAACUUUUACUUUGAGAAAAAUAGAGUGUUUCAAGCAGGCUUGUCGCCCUGAAUACUGCAGCAUGGAAUAAUAAGAUAGGACCUCGGUUCUAUUUUGUUGGUUUCUAGGACCAAGGUAAUGAUUAAUAGGGACAGUUGGGGGCAUUCGUAUUUAACUGUCAGAGGUGAAAUUCUUAGAUUUGUUAAAGACGAACUACUGCGAAAGCAUUUGCCAAGGAUGUUUUCAUUAAUCAAGAACGACAGUAGGGGGUUUGAAGACGAUUAGAUACCGUCGUAAUCUCUACCAUAAACUAUGCCGACUAGAGAUAGGGAAACGCCUACCUUGGCUUCUCCUG